AUUGAACGCUGGCGGCAUGCCUUACACAUGCAAGUCGAACGGCAGCAUGGAAGAGCUUGCUCUUCUGAUGGCGAGUGGCGAACGGGUGAGUAAAGCAUCGGAACGUACCGGGUAGUGGGGGAUAACGUAGCGAACGUUACGCUAAUACCGCAUACGCACUGAGGUGGAAAGCAGGGGAUCGCAAGACCUUGCGCUAUACGAGCGGCCGAUGUCAGAUUAGCUAGUUGGUAGGGUAAAGGCCUACCAAGGCGACGAUCUGUAGCGGGUCUGAGAGGAUGAUCCGCCACACUGGGACUGAGACACGGCCCAGACUCCUACGGGAGGCAGCAGUGGGGAAUUUUGGACAAUGGGCGAAAGCCUGAUCCAGCCAUGCCGCGUGAGUGAAGAAGGCCUUCGGGUUGUAAAGCUCUUUCGGCUGGGAAGAAAUCGCACAGGCUAAUACUCUGUGUGGAUGACGGUACCAGCACAAGAAGCACCGGCUAACUACGUGCCAGCCGCCGCUGUAA
rnacentral:rRNA from 1 species